CAAUGGAGUAAGUAAAGUGGCGUACGGGUGAGUAACACGUGGGUAUCUACCUUCUAGUGGGGGAUAACCCUGGGAAACCGGGGCUAAUACCGCAUAAUCUCGAAAGAGGAAAGGAGCAAUUCGCUGGAAGAGGAGCCCGCGGCUGAUUAGCUAGUUGGUGAGGUAAUGGCCCACCAAGGCUUUGAUCGGUAGCCGGCCUGAGAGGGCGCACGGCCACACUGGAACUGAAACACGGUCCAG
rnacentral:rRNA from 1 species